rnacentral:rRNA from 1 species
AUUGAACGCUGGCGGCAGGCCUAACACAUGCAAGUCGAGCGGAUGAAGGGAGCUUGCUCCUGGAUUCAGCGGCGGACGGGUGAGUAAUGCCUAGGAAUCUGCCUGGUAGUGGGGGAUAACGUCCGGAAACGGGCGCUAAUACCGCAUACGUCCUGAGGAAGAAAGUGGGGGAUCUUCGGACCUCACGCUAUCAGAUGAGCCUAGGUCGGAUUAGCUAGUUGGUGGGGUAAAGGCCUACCAAGGCGACGAUCCGUAACUGGUCUGAGAGGAUGAUCAGUCACACUGGAACUGAGACACGGCCCAGACUCCUACGGGAGGCAGCAGUGGGGAAUAUUGGACAAUGGGCGAAAGCCUGAUCCAGCCAUGCCGCGUGUGUGAAGAAGGUCUUCGGAUUGUAAAGCACUUUAAGUUGGGAGGAAGGGCAGUAAGUUAAUACCUUGCUGUUUUGACGUUACCAACAGAAUAAGCACCGGCUAACUUCGUG